rnacentral:rRNA from 1 species
AAGAUGGAAACGGCUCUCACUUACAGAUGGGCCCGCGGGGCAUUAGCUAGUUGGUGAGGUAACGGCUCACCAAGGCAACGAUGCAUAGCCGACCUGAGAGGGUGAUCAACCACACUGGGACUGAGACACGGACCAGACUCCUACGGGAGGCAGCAGUAGGGAAUCUUCCGCAAUGGACGAAAGUCUGACGGAGCAACGCCGCGUGAGUGAUGAAGGCUUUCGGGUCGUAAAACUCUGUUGUUUGGGAAGAACAAGUACAAGAGUAACUGCUUGUACCUUACGUGAUCCAACGCAGAAAGCCACCGUCAACUAGUUGCCAGCAGCCGCGGUAAUAGUAGGUGGCAAGCGUAUCCGGAAUUAUUGGGCGUAAAGCGCGCGCAGGCGGUUUCUUAAGUCUUAUGUGAAAGCCCACGGCUCAACCGUGGAGGGUCAUUGGAAACUGGGGAACUUGAGUGCAGAAGAGAAAAGCGGAAUUCCACGUGUAGCGGUGAAAUGCGUAGAGAUGUGGAGGAACACCAGUGGCGAAGGCGGCUUUUUGGUCUGUAACUGACGCUGAGGCGCGAAAGCGUGGGGAGCAAACAGGAUUAGAUACCCUGGUAGUCCACGCCGUAAACGAUGAGUGCUAAGUGUUAGAGGGUUUCCGCCCUUUAGUGCUGCAGCUAACGCAUUAAGCACUCCGCCUGGGGAGUACAGUCGCAAGACUGAGACUCAAAGGAAUUGACGGGGGCCCGCACAAGCGGUGGGAGCAUGUGGGUUUAAUUC